UCUGGUAUGUUUGUGUUUUAGGCCACGACCGGCGUUUUGGAUUUUUUCUGAACCGUAGAAUGCUCUGUUUAUGGGAGUAGGACUUGGAGAACACUACAGCCAGUCAUCUUCACUGGUCAGAGUAUAGUUUGUAGUUGUCUCUGGUCAGAUGGAUAAAUGGAUGCUCUUCAUUUUCGUUACACUCUUCUAUGUGGUGUCCACGAGAAUGAAUGCAUGAACGAACAAUAGUAGAAUGUGUACUGGUAUCUGAGAGGUAUGUUUUUCUGAGAUGGGUCUGCCAGAGAUGAGGAAAUAAUGUCGGUGGUGACCACCACCACAAGUUCACAACAAAAAAGUGAGACACAAAGCGUAACAGUAAAAUAACUAUGACAAGUUGUUUAGAUACCGCAAGCAUAUAAAAGGUUACGGAAAGUCUCUGUUUACAAACAAACACAAAAUGCGCGCAACAUCUGUUUUUCAGUCAAAGAAAAUCGGAUUCAUUUCGGAAACCGGUACUUUCAAGUUGCAUUCGCGAAACUUCUUUUAAUCUACUUCAAAGUAAAGAUAUUUAUAUGAAACCUCAACUAUUUAUUAUUGCCUGUGAGUGACCAAUUUGAAAAAACCAUUUUCAGAAUGUGGCACGUAUGGAUAGGUGUGAGGCCACCCACCCGCCUGACUUUGGAGACCCAGUUGCCUGUCAUGCAACUUCAAAGCCCAACACGAAUUAAGGCAUUAUCUCCUAGGCAAUGACCAGAGGGGCAUAGUUUUUGCCUAGCAAAUUGAUAGCUCCACGUUUUGCAAUAUGAAAGUCGACCUCCACCAGGAUUAUGUUCAGUUGAAAAGAGGAUGUGGAUAUUAAUGCCACUAUGGACAUACAUCUCUAAGCCAGAAAUCAGCUUGUUGUGCGCUCUAAAUCGUGUUUUCUGGGUUUCACUUUUUCCCAAAAUUUACUGCUAUUGUCACGUUCAUAAAGUUUAAAAGUAUCUAAAAUUUUCAUCAUGAGAUUUUUUAUAUAAAACCAAAAAAUUAACAUACAGCAAAUAAUUAAUUUGGACUUUUUGUUUGCGCGAUAAUAAAUAAUUGAUUUGAUGUAUCAUGUCAUCC